CCUACGGGUGGCAGCAGUGGGGAAUAUUGCACAAUGGGGGAAACCCUGAUGCAGCAACGCCGCGUGAGUGAAGAAGUAUUUCGGUAUGUAAAGCUCUAUCAGCAGGGAAGAAGAAAGACGGUACCUGACUAAGAAGCCUCGGCUAACUACGGGCCAGCAGCCACGGUAAUACGGCGGGGGCAAGCGUUAUCCGGAUUUACUGGGUGUAAAGGGAGCGUAGACGGUUGUGCAAGUCUGAAGUGAAAGGCCGGGGCUAAACCGCGGAACUGCUUUGGAAACUGGAUAGCUUGAGUACUGGAGGGGCAGGCGGAAUUCCUGGUGUAGCGGUGAAAUGCGUAGAUAUUAGGAGGAACACCGGUGGCGAAGGCGGCCUGCUGGGCAGAAACUGACGUUGAGGCUCGAAAGCGUGGGGAGCAAACAGGAUUAGAUACCCGAGUAGUC
rnacentral:rRNA from 1 species